rnacentral:rRNA from 1 species
AUUGAACGCUGGCGGCAGGCCUAACACAUGCAAGUCGAACGAGUGGCGGACGGGUGAGUAAUGUCUGGGAAACUUCCUGAUGGAGGGGGAUAACUACUGGACACGGUAGCUAAUACCGUAUACCAUCAGAUGUUCCCAUAUGUGCUUAGCUUGUUUGUGGGGUAACGGCUCCCCAAGGCGACGAUCCCUAGCUGGUCUGCGUGGAUGACCAUCCACACUGGAACUGAGACACGGUCCAGAUUCCAACGUGAGGCAGCAGUGGGGAAUAUUGCACAAUGGGCGCAAGCCUGAUGCAGCCAUGCCGCGUGUAUGAAGAAGGCCUUCGGGUUGUAAAGUACUUUCAGCGGGGAGGCGUUACCCGCAGAAGAAGCACCGGCUAACUCCGUGCCAGCAGCCGCGGUAAUUC